AUGAUAAUAAUGUCAGCAAGACAAAUCAUACCCCCCAUGCCUUCUGCUACUCCCAGACACAAGUCAAAGAGCAAUACUGUAUGCGCUGAUGAGGUAAAAUCAAGCCUAGAGAAAACAGUGUUUGCUAAACUACAAGAGGCUCCUAUAGCCAAGAGUUAUGUGGAAAUAGUGAAGAAGAAACCUGUGGAGAACAUUGGUGUCCAUCUCUUGCCUCAGUUUGAAGCUGUUGAAGGGAGAAGUGAUACUAAUGGACAAAAAUCUGAUGCUGCUACAAAGGAUAAAAAAGGAAAAUGGGGCCCUGUAGUAGCUACCAGAAUGAGUGAUAGGGUGAAGAGAGAUUGCAAACCUGCCCUGCAAAAAGCUCAAGAACUAAAGAGAAUGAGGGAUUUGGAAAUACCCAAAUACAAGCAGGAUAAAGGUGAACUAAAUGAAAUCUAG
rnacentral:rRNA from 1 species